GAUGAACGCUGGCGGCGUGCCUAAUACAUGCAAGUCGAGCGAACAGACGAGGAGCUUGCUCCUCUGACGUUAGCGGCGGACGGGUGAGUAACACGUGGAUAACCUACAUAUAAGACUGGGAUAACUUCGGGAAACCUGAGCUAAUACCGGAUAAGAUAUUGAACCGCAUGGUUCAAUAGUGAAAGAGGGUUUUGCUGUCACUUAGAGAUGGAUCCGCGCCGCAUUAGCUAGUUGGUAAGGUAACGGCUUACCAAGGCAACGAUGCGUAGCCGACCUGAGAGGGUGAUCGGCCACACUGGAACUGAGACACGGUCCAGACUCCUACGGGAGGCAGCAGUAGGGAAUAUUCCGCAAAGGGCGAAAGCCUGACGGAGCCACGCCGCGUGAGUGAUGAAGGUCUUCGGAUCGUAAAGCUCUGUUAUUAGGGAAGAACAAAUGUGUAAGUAACUAUGCACGUCUUGACGGUACCUACUCAGAAAGCCCCGGCUAACUACGUG
rnacentral:rRNA from 1 species